AGGGUUGCCGUGCAGGGAGUGUCAGCCACGUCUAGCGCACAGUCCCAGGCCCCAGGGCGAAGGCGGCCAGGGGAAAUGGGGCUCAGGGAUUGCUAAGCAAACGCAUCACUGGUGGUCUCCAGCGCCUGCGGAGCAUCAAGCUUAUGAAGAUUUCCAAGACUUUAUUGUUGACCCUUGUUGAAGAGAACUCUACUUGGCUUCUUUCCUGGCUUUCCUAAAUUGUUCACAUACAAGAUAAACUACCGUCAUUCAGACUUACAGAAGUGAGAAGACAAGCUGAACCAAAUGUAAAAUGGUAGCAAUUUACAGGUAAUUCUGUAUCUUAAUUUCUCCCACAUUUUUAGGGUAAAAAAUUGUGAUAUAUGGGGGUUAUUUGGAUCAAGUGUUUUCUAAGUAGAACUUUGUCAUAAUUAAUUUUAUGUAUUUAUAGUAGUUCUCCCUGUGUCCCUUUAUCCAAGCAACACAAUACAA
rnacentral:lncRNA from 1 species